rnacentral:rRNA from 1 species
UGCAAGUCGAACGAAAGUUUUUAACUUUAGUGGCGAACGGGUGCGUAAUACGUGAGAAUCUGCCCUUAGGAGAAGAAUAACUGCUGGAAACGGCUGCUAAAUCUUCAUAUGUCGAGAGAUGAAAUAGCUUAGGCUGCCUAAGGAUGAGCUCACGCCUGAUUAGCUAGUUGGUGAGGUAAUGGCUCACCAAGGCCACGAUCAGUAGCUGGUUUGAGAGAACGAUCAGCCACACUGGGACUGAGACACGGCCCAGACUCCUCCGGGAGGCAGCAGUGAGGAAUUUUCCGCAAUGGGCGAAAGCCUGACGGAGCAAUACCGCGUGAGGGAUGAAGGAUUUUGGUCUGUAAACCUCUUUUCUCAAGAAAGAAGUUCUGACGGUACUUGAGGAAUAAGCAUCGGCUAACUCCGUGCCAGCAGCCGCGGUAAUACGGGGGAUGCAAGCGUUAUCCGGAAUCAUUGGGCGUAAAGCGCCUGUAGGUUGUUUAAUAAGUCUGUUGUUAAAGACUAGGGCUUAACCCUAGAAAAGCAAUGGAAACUACUAGACUAGAGUAUGGCAGGGGUAGAGGGAAUUUCUAGUGUAGCGGUGAAAUGCGUAGAUAUUAGAAAGAACACCGGUGGCGAAAGCGCUCUACUGGA